AGGGCGCAAAAUCAUAACGGUCGAACGAAAGCCAUUAUCAUAACCUCCAAACGGAUAGCCGUUUAUUCCCGUCUUUUCUACGCGUAAUCCACCUUUUUUGAGGAUUUGAUGGCAGAACAUGGAUUGAAGUUAAAGGACAUUAUGAUAGAGAUAGUAAAAUGUGCUCGAGUUGAAAGCCAGAAAAGAAAGAAGUUUGAGGUAUAAGGAAUGUAUCAAUACGUAAAUCGCAAGAAACGGAUAAAAACUUUGUAAACUUAAGUUAUUCACUAAUCACUGUACUUACAUCUAAAGCGCCUAUGUUUUACAAACUGUUACUUCAAGCACAAAAUUGAAUAACUUAGCUUAGUAAAAACCUAGUAAUCAGUCUUGCACCUAAAAUUUGUCCAGAUAUUUAUUUUGAAUAUCUAAUGUUACUGUAGUUGGUUUUUGUCCGUAUAUUCUGAUCACAGUAAACCCUGCAUAUGAAGAACCUAGUUAUCUUUUCAAGCUAGCCUACCAGGUUCAAAUUUAAAUGGUGCAUAUAGAGGCAUUAGGCUUCUAGCUUCUUAUCUGAAUAUACAAAGAUGGAGGAGGAGGCAGUUCUUUUGGAAAACCGUAAUGACGCCAAAAAGGGUAAUGUUC